UACAGAGGGUGCGAGCGUUAAUCGGAAUUACUGGGCGUAAAGCGUGCGUAGACGGUUAUUUAAGUCGGGUGUGAAAGCCCCGGGCUCAACCUGGGAAUUGCAUUCGAGACUGAAUAGCUAGGGUACGGUAGAGGGAAGUGGAAUUUCCGGUGUAGCGGUGAAAUGCGUAGAUAUCGAGAGGAACACCUGCGGCGAAGGCGGGUUGCUGGGCUGACACUGACGCUGAGGCGCGAAAGCUAGGGGAGCGAACGGG
rnacentral:rRNA from 1 species